AUGGUAGAGAAUGAGUCCCGGCCUGAUGGGCUUCCGCCCUCUCAAGGAGGGAAGUAUGUGGGUUUUGGAUCAGGUCCUGCCCCAAUGCCCAGGAAUAACAUGAAUCAGCAAAGGGAUGUUUUUUCUGUUGUUACUCAGGAAUUUGGUAGGUUAUCUAUGAUAGCUGCAAUGACAGCACAGUCGGCUGCAAGUGUGGUUCAAGUGGGGACAAAGGAAUUGACUACUAAGGUGAAAGAAGGUGGAUAUGAUACCAAGGUCAAUGAAACGGUCAAUGUUGUCACGGCAAAAACAAGUGAGAUUGGACAAAAGAGUUGGGGUAUCAUGAAAGGAGUCUUGGCCAUGGCUUCAUAGAAGGUAGAGGAAUAUACCAAGGAAAGUCCAACCUGGAAGAAUGAUAGCUGGCAACGAGGUGAAAGCGAAAAGAAUGGCUAUUAUCAGGACUUUAAUCAGGAUUCUAAAGGAUGGAAUUCUUCUGGAGGAGCCCAGUCCCGUGGAAGGAACACUAAUUUUGUCAGCUCUGGGUCGUGGGAUGAUUGGGACAACGAAGACAAGAGCAAAGUAAAUCCUACAAAGAGGGCAGCAGCAUCCAACAACAAGAACGAUGACUGGGCUGGAUGGGAUGAUGGUCAGGGUGAUGGAUUUGAUAAUCACUACCAGAGUGCAUCCAACAAUAAACAUGUUGCUGUUCAUGCUGGAAAUAUAGAUUCCAAAUGGACCGAUGGAGGUUUCCUCUGACGGCAGUACAUGUUGCAACUCCCCUUGUAAUUCUUUGCCUUCCCACAUUCAAUUUUCUCCAUGUCUUAUUGGAAAAAAGGAAUUGUGUGUCUGAAUAUAGUUGAUAUUUGUACCAUUGCCAGCAGGUUGGGUUAAUUGCUCCUCCUGUAAAAGAAGAAAGAGCCAAAAGCAAGCAGAAUUAGACUCUUGUUGAGGACCAUUAUUCGGGGCAAAAAAACGUUUAAGUUACAUUUGGAUUUGUAAAGACCAUUUUUGCAUUGUCUAUUUUUUUCCUGUUUCUGUCCUAUAUAUUGGAGAUUUUUGCUUAGUAUGUCUGA